CCCUAUAGUUGGUGAAGUGUAACAGUGCCUCAUUAGGUGGCCAAAAUUCUAGCUUGACCACUAAGUGUCAUUGCGGUUGCAGAGCACAGAUCUGGGGUCAGCAAAAGAAGAGGAAAGGUGGAAUAAAAUGCAAAUCAUGAGCAAAAAGCUUUAUCAUACUUGAUAGGUCAUUUCUAGAGAAUUACAUGAUUAAGGGGCGUGAGAGAGCAGAGUAGCAGGUGUAUAAGGACUUCAGAAAAACAUCUUGUGUAGGGCUUUAAAAUUACUUAGGAGAUUAAUAAAAAUUGACAUCUAUAUGGACACUAUCUCACGGUUGAAAAGCCGGCUGAAAGAUUGAAAAGCCUGUAAACAAAUGAAAAUAAAUGGCUUGCAACUCAUACUGGGAGGAGUUCUCAGGGUUGGCAUUUGAAGAGCUCUUAUUUAGCUUGAGAGCCAGAUGACUAAGCUAUUACAUUGGGAUAAAUACAUUGGGAAUGAAAUGUGCAAAUGGACUAACCUGGCAGGAGUCGCUGGAAAGAUGUUAAUCACCCAUGGCUGCAUAAUCUCUGCCACAUCUGGGGAAAACCUGACAACUUUCACAUGAAAAGAUGAGCAGCUGUGGGUUUAUGGCCUACAUAGCCAGCGUUCUCAGAAGUGUGAGUAACAGAAAGAAAAAUAUUCUUUCUCAAGUGUGAUUUAUUUCCUUUCCCUUUCUUCCUUCCUUCUUCUCAUCUUCCUUAACUUUAUUUCCUCCUUCAUAUCCUUCUUCUAAGGAAUUUUUAUAUUUUAAUGUAUACAAGAGGGGCUUCCCUGGUGAUCCAGUGGAUAAGAAUCUGCUUGCCAAUUCAGAGUACAUGGGUUCAAUUCCUGGUCUGGGAAGAUUCCACAUGCCAUGCAGCAACUAAGCUUGUGAGCUGCGACUCCUGAGCCCGAGUGCUACAGCUACUGAAGCCCCAGCUCCUAGAGCCUGUGCUCCACUGCAAGGAAGUCACCACAAUAAGAAGGCCGCACACUGCGACAAAGAGCAACCCCUGCUCGCCACAGCAAGAGAGAGCCCACGCAGCAAUGAAGACCCAGAGAAGCUAAAAAGUAGCAAAAACUUGUUAAAAAACACAAAAUAAAGUAUAUAAGAAAUGUAGGCUUAUUCUAAAA
rnacentral:lncRNA from 1 species